AUACGUAGGGGGCGAGCGUUGUCCGGAAUUAUUGGGCGUAAAGGGCGCGUAGGCGGCCUGUUAAGUCUGGAGUGAAAGUCCUGUUUUCAAGAUGGGAAUUGCUUUGGAUACUGAUGGGCUUGAGUGCAGGAGAGGUUAUCGGAAUUCCGGGUGUAGCGGUGAAAUGCGUAGAGAUCGGGAGGAACACCAGUGGCGAAGGCGGGUAACUGGACUGCAACUGACGCUGAGGCGCGAAAGUGUGGGGAGCAAACAGGAUUAGAUACCCUGGUAGUCCACACUGUAAACGAUGAAUGCUAGGUGUAAGGGGUAUCGACCCCUUUUGUGCCGGAGUUAACACAAUAAGCAUUCCGCCUGGGGAGUACGGCCGCAAGGUUGAAACUCAAAUGAAUUGACGGGG
rnacentral:rRNA from 1 species